UCGUACAGUCGUAGACUAUAGAUUUUUUGGUGUAGUAAAUGCUCUCAAUUUUCACUUUCCUCCAGCUUCAUUGGAUUUUCAUUGGUUUCUGCUGAACUUAACUAAAUUUUGCAAUCAACAAUACUCGUAAGGAAAAAUUUGAAUAAAUGGCGAAAUUGAAUGGUGAGGAUGAUAAUUUCAUUUGCAAUAUUGCUGAUUCCAAGUUUCUGAAAAACAACGAAAAUGUUUCGGCAUCAACCCCAAAUCAACACAAUUAUUCCAGAGCACCUGAUUUUGGUUUCAUUCUCCCAGUAUACCCGGAUUCUUUUUUUCCUCUCUUCUUGGAGGAAAGGACCAAAGGUGCAGCUUGUGAGUCUGUAUUGACGAUAUUGAUUGCUCAAUUUGGAUCAACACUUACAAGCUUGAAUUUUGAAUCUGGUGGUGGCACAGCUGCACAGGCUUGGAUAUUGGAUCUUGUGUACUCUAUUUGCAGGAUAUUAUAAGAUUACUCAAGAUCAUCAACAUUAGUAAUUUUUCGGCGGAAACCCUAACUAUUCCCGAUGAUCUCAUAAUCCGUUUCACAUCUGUUUCUAAAUUCUGGCUUUCUACAAUUUCUACUCCUGAAUUUGCAAAAUCCCAUCUCAAAUUCUCCCCCAAUCAAAUUAUUUUAAUCAUUAAAAGACCUUUAAGAUUCAUGAUAUUGCCAUAUGAUGAUGAAGAAUCUGACAAUCUGGAAAACCCAAUUGAAUUGGAAAACUUUUUUGAUUCAUCUUUUCAACAAAAUUAUCUAAAAAUAAUGUUAGCUUUGUGGGUUCUGGUAAUGGGUUGGUUUGCUUCAAAUGUAGGAAUUUGUGUUUCUUCUUUAUCUGCAAUCCUGCUCUGCAUUCAUACCGUGAAAUUAUGUAUCCUAAUCCUGAGUACUGCUCUAGUACUUCUUGGUUUGGUUAUAUACCAUCUAUUGAUGACUACAGGAUAGCCGUGCUAUUUGGAUUGUCUAGAUUAAGAGUUCAGCGUGAACCUCCUGUAUACUUUUAUGUGUUUUUGUUUAAGACUGGGAAUUGGAAAAGAAUAUAUGACCUUGAUGAUUAUUUUACUCGACAUGAAUGGUUAUGCUGGGACACGAAAGUGGUCAAUGAUAUUCUGUAUUGGUCUGUUGGGUUUCCGGGAUAUGCGAUGCUUAAGCGCAUUGUAGGGUAUGAUUUGGUUAGUGAACAGGUGAAAGUAUUCCCUUGGAUGGAUUGGUUACCACAGAUGAAAGUAUUCCCUUGGAUGGAUUGGUUACAACAGUACGUUAGUACGAGGUUUUUCUCGAGGAAUGGGUGCUUAUCAAUAGAAUGCAUCAGCUUAAUCGAUUGGAUGACUGAAGUUUGGACAUUGAAACAAUUUGAUGACUUGACUUCUUGGGAGAAAGUGGGUUCUUUCCAUCUUCCGUGCACGUUUGCUAGUCAUGUCACCCCCACAGGCAAGUUUUUAUUAGAGAAAUGUAUUGAGCUCCAAACACCGAACCGGUUCAUGAUAGUUGAUGCAAGUCUGGGUACGGAAAAACAAAGGCAAAGCCAUACUUGCUCAUGUGACAAUAAAAGAACUCUUUCGAAUGCGGUAGGGUAUGUUGAGAGUCUCAUUUCCCCCUUCAGAUCAAUCAUGUCCAUUGACGAGGAAGACCAUGAAGUGUGAUCGACGUUGCUAUCUUAUGUUGGUGUGUUCGCGUUGUGGUUUAAAUCUCGCUUGUAUCAGGUUUUAUCAUGAGUUUUCCCAUUUGACCUUGGUUUGUCUGGGAAUUAGCACUUUUUGUUGUUGAUGAUGUCGUCGUCGUCGUUGUUUUUGUUGCCGUUGUUGAUGAGGAAUCAAACAACAAAAACCAAGGUCAAAUAAAGGUUCAUGAUCAAGCCCAAGUCCAUGCAUUAUUGGUUCGUGAAUUAGGCAAAGAAAUCAUGCCUAAGUACAUUGGAUUCUCUUCCAAUAAUACAUUCGUCACAUGUGUUCAUUGGGAAGAAUUCGAAGGGGCAAAAUCAGCCUAAGAGAAGUAUAAACCGUCCUCUUUAAAGCAUUAAAACAACUGUUACAAAAGGUGCAAUUUCAGCAUGCAUCAUUUGCUGCGGUUCUGAGGCAUUAAAGGCAGCGGUUUUUUCGUCAUUUGCUGCGGUUUUCACGCUUAACUUUAUGUUUUGCUUUGAUUCUUAGCUUUAAAGAAGGAGGACGUUUUAGCUCUUUGAAUGGGGGUUAUGGCUGGUUGUUUAAGCUUUAUUUUGACAGAUUAUUUAGUCCUUAAUUAUGUAAAAUGGCCAUGUUAAUGAGCUAUCAAUAAUUAGCUAGUUUUAAGGCUUAUUAGGAGCUUGCAUUUAGGGGGAUGUAUCUAGACUUGUUUUAGUUCAUUCCUAGCUGUUUGUAAGGGGUUUUCAAGCAUAGAAUCAGCUUGAAUAUUCCAUAGUAGGCGUGUGUAUUAGGGGAAGCUCAAGGGGUUCUUUUAUGACUUCUAAACUUCCUUAAUGAUCACUAUAAAUAAAACUCAUGGCCAUAUGGAUGGACAAUGAUUGAUUAAAACCAAAAAUACAUUUUGCUUUGUACAUUUUAUUCGUGAUUACUUAGUGUUUUCACAGGCUUUUACUUGAUACUUAGUGUUAAGAGUAAAAGUGUUUGGAGUAAAUCUUUACUUAGUGUUUGAUUUGCUUCAUUCGAACUAUUUGACAAUUAUUCCUUUAUCCGAUUAUUGAACUUGACACCCGACACAGUUUUCUGUCAAAAUCCAAACGAUCCUAAGUCAUUUUUGUGGGUUAACAUCCACAUCAGUUGUGGUGGUGGUGGUGUUGCUGUUGUGUUGUUGUAGCUUUUCUGAGACUGAUUCAGACUCAAAGCUGUAUGUUAUCUAGCCUGAGCAUAAAAUAUUAUUAUUGUUGAGAAGUUGACAAUUUUGUAAGUCUGUUGCUGUUGUAGUGGUUGGUUCAUGAUAAUAACAGCAACGAAGUAAUUAUUUAAUCCAUCAAUUUCAUUUUGGCUUUGUAUGAAUUUGAGUAUUUGUUCCUUUCUGAAUUUUGUAAGCAAAACUGGCUUGAAUUGAUCAUGAACAUGGUUACGCGGGUCAGUGAAACCAUCGACAUUGGACAUAAACAACCAUCUCCUUUUCCCUGACUACUGUCCUGAUCUCUUUGGCCCCUUUCCUCCUUGCUAAUUGACUUCUAUUACUGAUAAAUUUGCGUCUUCUUGCUGUGACUGCCUUUUCUAGUUUACUAGUUCUCUUGUUGCUCAAGGUUUAUUUCCCAUUAAAACUCCCCCUAGUACUGUUAAGUGAGCAUUAAUGUUAUUUUAACGCCAAGUUUUGUUGUUUGUAGGCAUACUAGUAUGCUAAUAAUAAUAUCAUAUAGUUUAUAGCUAAUGAUUGUCAUGCAAGCAAUAAUCAAUAUGUUUCUUAUUUGUUAUUUCAACUAGCUCUUUGCUCUUUGGUGAUUUUCCUUUUUGAGUAGAAUAAAACCCUGACCCUCUCCAAGUUUGUCGUGAGUCAGCCGCCAUAAGGGGUUGUCACUGUGAGUCGAUCUAUUGCAUGGUGCCAACCGAGAGUGCUGCUGGAAAGAAGAAAUACAUUCUGGUGGUUUGGAAAGUUUGAUCCAACCUUGUUCAAUUGUUAACGAGACAUGUUCAAGCUUAAUUUACAUUUCAACUAUUAAAAGAGCCAAACUCAAACUCAAUUGUUUGCAUUUUUUUUAAUAUACUCUGCGUCCUUUACCUAAAGAAUCUAAACUAUCAAUUGAAUGACAAAGAUAGGAUAAACUUUUUCACACAAAUUUCCCUAGCCAUAUAACAUUACAAAGCCUUAAUUGCACAUGUUGAAACAUGAUGUAUUUAGUCGAGUUUGAGUUCAGCUUGAUCAAACCAAUUAACCGUAAUUUCGCCGGAAUUGAGAAGCUAUGGUGGCAGCUAGCAGCUUCCAUCAGGCGGCUAUAAUGGCGGCCAACAACUUCAAUUGGGCAGAAAGAUAUGGAGGUGAAGGAUAUAGUAUAUAGCAGGGGAGAAGGAAGAUACAAUAUAGCAAAGGAGAGUGGUUUUUUAACGGGUGGAAAUAGGUUAUCAACUAAUUAAUUACCCAAAUCCAAUCUUAGAAGGAAAAAAUCCAAAAUUACUGCUCAUUUAUUGUUCCCUUCCCAUUAUAUCUAUUUUAGGCAGUCCCUUAAGAUAACUAUAAACCGUUUUAUAAUAACUUAAUGAAAGUGUUUAAUAAAAAGCAAAACGUUGAAUUAUUAAUAUUAAAUAAGGCAAAGGUUUAAUUAUUUAAAUCAAAAUUUUCUUAUUUUUAUUGCAUACAUACAUAUCCUUUUACAUACUUGACUAUUGACCGACCAUUGGAGUUACUCUAGCUUUGAAAGACAGAAAGAGUAGAGGUAAAUAAAUAAAUAAAUAAACUAUACAGGUGUAGUCAAUGUUCUCAUUUUUCACUCUCUUUCAACAACUUGACUAAAUUUCCACACAACAAAAAUAAGGAAGAACUCAGAAAAAUGGCGAAUUUAAAUGGUGAGGAUGAUAAUUUCGAUGGUAAUAUUGCUAAUUCAAGUGUGAAAAACAACGACAAUGUUUCAGCAUCAGCCCUAAUCAACGCAAUUCUUCCAGAACACCUGAUAUUGGUCUCAUUCUCCCAAUAUUGCCGAUAUGAUAGCUAGAGUGCAAUCGCAAUAUUGGACUGCUGCAAUCCUUAAUUAUGCAGAUCAUAAUAGAAGGUAACACUUACAGGCUUGAAUUCUGAAUCUGGUGGUGGUACAGCUGCAUAGGCUUGGAUGUUAGAUCUUGUGUACUCUAUUUGCAGGAUAAUACAAGAUUAUUCAGGAUCAUCAACAUCAGUUAUGUUUCGGCGGAAACCCUAACUAUUCCCGAUGAUCUCAUAAUCGACCUCAUUCUGCCAAGAUUGCCGGUAAAAACCCUAAUCCGUUUCAAAUCUGUUUCUUAGUUCUGGCUUUCCACAAUUUCUACUCCUGAAUUCGCAAAAUCCCAUCUCAAAUUCUCCCCCAAUCAAAUUCUGGUAAUCUUUAAAAACCCAUUAAGAUUCAUGUUAUUGCCAUAUGAUGAUGAAGAAUCUGACAGUCUGAAAAACCGUAUUGAAUUGGAAACUUUUUUGAUUCAUCUUUUCAACAAAAAAUAUCUAAAAAUAAGGUUAGCUUUAAGGGUUCUGGUAAUGGGUUGGUUUGCUUUGAAUGUAGGAAUUUAUGUUUCUUCUUUAUCUGCAAUCCUGCUCUGCAUUCAUACCGUGAAAUUAUGUAUCCUAGUCCUGAUAACUGCUCUAGAACUUCUUGGUUUGGUUAUGUACCAUCUAUUGAUGUCUACAGGAUAGUCGUGCUAUUUCGAUUGUCUAGAUUAAGAGUUCAGCAUGAACCUUCUUUAUACUUUUAUGUGUUUUCAUUUAAGACUGGGAAUUGGAAAAGAAUAUGUGACCUUGAUGAUUAUUUUACUCGCCAUGAAUGGUUAUGCCUGGACACAAAAGUGGUCAAUGAUAUUCUGUAUUGGUCUGUUGGGUUUCCGGGAUAUGCGACGCCUAAGCGCAUUGUAGGGUAUGAUUUUGUUAGUGAGCAGGUGAAAGUAUUCCCUUGGAUGGAUUGGUUACAACAGUACGUUAGUACGAUGUUUUUCUUGAGGAAUGGGUGCUUAUCAAUAGAAUGCAUCACAGCUUAAUUGAUCGGAUGACUGAAGUUUGGACAUUGAAACAAUUUGAUGGCUGGAACUCGUGGGAGAAAGUGGGUUCUUUCCAUCUUCCGUGCACGUUUGGUUGUCAUGUCACCCCCACAGGCAAGUUUUUAGUGGAGAAAUGUUUUGAGCUCCAAACACUGAACCGGGUCAAGAUAGUUGAUGUAAGUCUAGAUACCGAAAAACAAAGGCAAAGCCAUACUUGCUCAUGUGCUGGUAAAAGAACUAUUUCAAAUGCGGUAGGAUAUGUUGAGAGUCUCAUUUCCCCCUUUGGAAUAAUCAUGUCAUUUGAUGAGGAGGACCGUGAAGUUUGAUCGGAGCUGCUAUCUUGUGUUGGUGUGUGCGUGUUGUGGUUUAAAUCUUUCUUGUAUUAGGUUUUAUCAUGUGAUUUUCCCAUUAGUCAAUUUUUUUGCUGGGAAUUAGCACUUUUUGUUGCUGUUGCUGCUGUUGUUGAGUAGUUGACAAUUCUGUAAUAGACUGCUGCUGUUGUAGUGGUCGGUUUAUGAUAAUAACAACGAAGUAAUUAUAUAAUCCAUCAAUUUCAUUUUGGCUUUGUAUGAAUUUGAGUAUUUGAUUUUUUUUUUCCUUUCUGAAUUUUGUAAGCAAAACUCGCUUGAAUUAUUUAUGAACAUGGUUACGCAGUUGUGAAACCA